rnacentral:rRNA from 1 species
UGCGGCAGGCCUAACACAUGCAGUCGAGCGGUAGAGAGAAGCUUGCUUCUCUUGAGAGCGGCGGACGGGUGAGUAAUGCCUAGGAAUCUGCCUGGUAGUGGGGGAUAACGUUCGGAAACGGACGCUAAUACCGCAUACGUCCUACGGGAGAAAGCAGGGGACCUUCGGGCCUUGCGCUAUCAGAUGAGCCUAGGUCGGAUUAGCUAGUUGGUGGGGUAAUGGCUCACCAAGGCGACGAUCCGUAACUGGUCUGAGAGGAUGAUCAGUCACACUGGAACUGAGACACGGUCCAGACUCCUACGGGAGGCAGCAGUGGGGAAUAUUGGACAAUGGGCGAAAGCCUGAUCCAGCCAUGCCGCGUGUGUGAAGAAGGUCUUCGGAUUGUAAAGCACUUUAAGUUGGGAGGAAGGGUUGUAGAUUAAUACUCUGCAAUUUUGACGUUACCGACAGAAUAAGCACCGGCUAACUCUGUGCCAGCAGCCGCGGUAAUACAGAGGGUGCAAGCGUUAAUCGGAAUUACUGGGCGUAAAGCGCGCGUAGGUGGUUUGUUAAGUUGGAUGUGAAAUCCCCGGGCUCAACCUGGGAACUGCAUUCAAAACUGACUGACUAGAGUAUGGUAGAGGGUGGUGGAAUUUCCUGUGUAGCGGUGAAAUGCGUAGAUAUAGGAAGGAACACCAGUGGCGAAGGCGACCACCUGGACUAAUACUGACACUGAGGUGCGAAAGCGUGGGAGCAAACAGGAUUAGAUACCCUGGUAGUCCACGCCGUAAACGAUGUCAACUAGCCGUUGGAAGCCUUGAGCUUUUAGUGGCGCAGCUAACGCAUUAAGUUGACCGCCUGGGGAGUACGGCCGCAAGGUUAAAACUCAAAUGAAUUGACGGGGGCCCGCACAAGCGGUGGAGCAUGUGGUUUAAUUCGAAGCAACGCGAAGAACCUUACCAGGCCUUGACAUCCAAUGAACUUUCCAGAGAUGGAUUGGUGCCUUCGGGAACAUUGAGACAGGUGCUGCAUGGCUGUCGUCAGCUCGUGUCGUGAGAUGUUGGGUUAAGUCCCGUAACGAGCGCAACCCUUGUCCUUAGUUACCAGCACGUAAUGGUGGGCACUCUAAGGAGACUGCCGGUGACAAACCGGAGGAAGGUGGGGAUGACGUCAAGUCAUCAUGGCCCUUACGGCCUGGGCUACACACGUGCUACAAUGGUCGGUACAGAGGGUUGCCAAGCCGCGAGGUGGAGCUAAUCCCAUAAAACCGAUCGUAGUCCGGAUCGCAGUCUGCAACUCGACUGCGUGAAGUCGGAAUCGCUAGUAAUCGCGAAUCAGAAUGUCGCGGUGAAUACGUUCCCGGGCCUUGUACACACCGCCCGUCACACCAUGGGAGUGGGUUGCACCAGAAGUAGCUAGUCUAACCUUCGGGAGGACGGUUACCACGGUGUGAUCAA